rnacentral:lncRNA from 1 species
CUAGCUUUUAAAUGUACUAUUAGAAAGCAAACUACAAGCUUUCCAAUAUAAAAUGUUACACAGAAUAGUCUCACAUAAUUAUCUUCUUGAAAAAUAUAAACUUUCCUUAACUAAUGAAUGUGCCAGUUGUAAAGAAAUAGAAACUAUAGAGCAUAAAUUUUUUGAAUGUACAGAAAUAAAACGAUUUUGGAGAGAAUUUUCUAAUUGGUGGCAUUUAGUUUUUGG